GACGAACGCUGGCGGCGUGCUUAACACAUGCAAGUCGAACGGCAAGGCCCUGCUUUUGUGGGGUGCUCGAGUGGCGAACGGGUGAGUAACACGAGAGUAACCUGCUCUUGAUUUUGGGAUAACUUCAGGAAACUGGGGUUACUAUCGGAUAGGAGCUCCUGCUGCAUGGUGGGGGUUGGAAAGUUUCGGCGGUUGGGGAUGGACUCGCGGCUUUUCAGCUUGUUGGUGGGGUAGUGGCUUACCAAGGCUUUGACGGGUAGCCGGCCUGAGAGGGUGACCGGGCACAAUAGGACUGAGAGACGGCCCAGACUCCUACGGUAGGCAGCAGUGGGGAAUAUUGCACAAUGGGCGGAAGCCUGAUGCAGCAACGCCGCGGGCGGGAUGACGGCCUUCGGGUUGUAAACCGCUUUCGCCUGUGACGAAGCGUGAGUGACGGUAAUCAGUAAAGAAGCACCGGCUAACUACGUG
rnacentral:rRNA from 1 species